GACGGGGGGUGCAAGCGGUAUCCGGAAUCACUGGGCGUAAAGCGUCUGUAGGUGGUGAUGCAAGUCACUGGUGCAAAACUCUGGCUCAACCGGAGGAAAGCCAGUGAAACUGCAUGACUAGAGUGUGGGAGAGGUAGAAGGAAUUCCCUGAGUAGCGGUGAAAUGCGUAGAUACAGGGAAGAACACCGGAGGCGAAAGCGUUCUACUGGAACACAACUGACACUGAGAGACGAAAGCUAGUGGAGCGAAUGGG
rnacentral:rRNA from 1 species